CGUUUGCUUCAUGAGCUACAGCGCAUGUGUCGAAAGCCUCGGGUAUCAGAGGACCAUCACUACUGGUAGCAUCUUUAGCUGCUAUUGACCUUGUUUUUGGAGUAAAACACGGUGGAAGCUGAAUUAGUGAGGAUGACUCCUGCUCCUGUCAUCUCUAAGCUCCUCACACAUCUUUACCUGCACAUGAGGAAAAUCACUCCUGUAGAAUGCAGAUGUUCAGAGGGAGAUGAUGCCACAUCUGGUCCAGCUGAUGGAAGGUCUUGAAGUUCUCUGACUGGCCUCGACUGAAGAUGGUCGUCUCACUGGAUUUAAGGUUCAGAUGCUCAGUAACAAACUCCACCAAUGAGCCAACAGGGAAGCUUUAGGUUUAUUAAAUGUUGCUAUGAAGGUUUCACUGUUUUUCUUUGUGAAUGCAAUGUGCUCCAACUGAAACUUGAAUUAGAACUUAGAAGUAAAUCCUUCCAUCUGAAAGGAUUUAGUUGCAUUAAUAACCUCAUAACAUUCUAAUUUUUAUUCCAGUCUUAGUUGGAAAUAGAAUCUCUGUAUUGAUUCAGGUAAAAACUGAACUUCACAGCAUGUUGGAGCAAAAACAACCAGAUGAAAACUGUGAUGGUGUUGGAUUGUCAGACCGUAAUGUUGCGGCUCAAAGCAGCUUUUCUAUCUCAGUUCAUUCUGAGAUUCAGCUAUGAAUCAACACAGCAGAUGGUGAUCCAUGCUGUGGAAGUCUCACAUCUCCUCAUUUAAUGGAGCUGCUUUGCACUUUUUACACUGUUUAUUCACCAACACUUUAUUUUAUAAAAGUCCCAUCUAGUUUUUAUGAGGAAUUUGAUGUUUUAAUUUCUCUGUGAAUAACUGCAGUCUAAUGCAACAUCUGGAAUUGUAACAUCUGUCCUGAAGUAUUGAUCAUGAAGUAUUGAUCAGAAUACUUAUGGUUAGCAGUCAUCCCUGAAGUUUACAUUAAAAUCUUUACUUGUGUUGUGAACUUUGGUAAGAAGCAGAAACGUUAGCGUUGCCAUGGAUACAUGAGUGUUAAAUUCUGUCCAUGUUUCCAUUUUGGGAAAUUCAGUCCAACAGAUGAGUUUGUUUUUACUGCCAGCUACCAUUCAGUCUGAGAUAUUAAGAAUAAAUAAAUGUGCAUAAUGUGGGAAUGAACAGAUUUUAUUUUUAUUUAUUGCUACAGCUGCUGCAGGUAAAGUUAUAGGAUGUGGAGGAAUUUAGUCUCACAAUCACAGACAGUAAAUAUUAUCUGAAAGUCGGGUUAUUGUUGUUUAUCAGCACAAUACAAAAAGAUUAACGUUAGAAAUAUUCCAGUUAAUACUCUAGAAUAUCAGGAUUUAUGUAAAUUUACCUCAAUAAUAUGAAUGUUCAGGUUAAGAUUAUACAGUGAUAUUUAUUAUGUAAGUUUAGCUGAUUAAAGUUUAUGACUGCACUAAAAUAUUAUUUAAAUUUACAUCAUUAUUAUAAUAUUUAGGGUCAGACUCUACAGUAUUGCGAUUAAGAAACCAAAUAUUCUAUAAAAUAUAAAUACACUGAACUCAUUUGGAUAUAUUUAAGUGAGACUCUACAAUAUUAUUUGACACAAAUCUAUCUAAAUCAAAAUUUUAAUAAUUUUCACGCCAAACAUUUACUGGACUGAUUUAAACAUUAAAAUCACUCCUUUCUAAUCCUCUGCUGUACGUUCAAACCUGAAGCCUUAAAUAGAAACACACAGGUAUCUGAUUGAAGGAACUUCUGCAGAGUCCUGGUUCCACAACAUGAUGAUAGAAUUAUAGACAAACUUUAACAAAAGCUGCCUGAGAGUUUACAGGUUUUUAUGUUGGAUUUCUUCAGUAAUUUAAUGAGCGUUAUCAGCAAUAAUCAAGUGUUCAUUUGAUGAACUUCAUUUCCUAAAACAUCCAGAAUUGGAGCUCAUAUCUUUGAGAGCUGUAAAGUUUCUGCUCCUUCAAAGUUCACAACACAAUGAAUGAAUUCCUAAAACACUCUCAUUGUUGGAGAGCGUUUGUGAUGCUGAAGCAGUGACCAGUUUUUCUGUUUCUUCUCUGGAGAUGCACAAUGAGGGACAUCUGCAGAGACUGAGAAAGAGUCUCACCACAUCCUGACAUGAGGAAAAAGACUUUAUUGAAGACUGCAAUGAGAAAAACUAUCAGACAGCAGACGGCUGCAUUCAAGGUGAGAUCUGAACAUUUGAUCUGGAACAGGAAUUCAAUAACGGCAGCAUGAGCUUCAUUUCAGUCUGUAGCUGCUGAAUUCAUGGAUGAAUCAUCUGGCACUAGAGAGGAAGACCAUCAAACAUCCACGUCAGCUGAUGGAGGUCCAAGAGUCUCACCAAACAAACAACCUACAGAGUGAAGACCUUAAAUCUGAUUGGACGGCCUCCUAUUCAGCCACGUGUGAACAAAUGCCUCUAAGCUG